UAACCUGCCCAAGAGAUCGGGAUAACACCUGGAAACAGAUGCUAAUACCGGAUAACAACAGAUGAUGCCUAUCAACUGUUUAAAAGAUGGUUCUGCUNUCACUCUUGGAUGGACCUGCGGUGCAUUAGCUAGUUGGUAGGGUAACGGCCUACCAAGGCGAUGAUGCAUAGCCGAGUUGAGAGACUGAUCGGCCACAUUGGGACUGAGACACGGCCCAAACUCCUACGGGAGGCAGCAGUC
rnacentral:rRNA from 1 species